CUUUCCAACAAAAAAAAGAAUUAUCAAAAUCGGUACAUUCAGUAGAAAGUUAUGCGGUAUAAUACAACGUAGGUCGACGAAAAAAGCGUCAAGUAAAAACGCAUUAUUAGAUAUAACUCGAAAAGUAGUUGUUAGAUCUAAAAUAAAUUUAAAUGGGACCAAUUGACACACACCACCUUUCGAUUAAAAAAAAUUGUCGAAAUCG
rnacentral:misc_RNA from 1 species